rnacentral:rRNA from 1 species
UACGUAGGGUGCAAGCGUUGUCCGGAUUUAUUGGGCGUAAAGAGCUCGUAGGCGGCUUGGCAAGUCGGGUGUGAAAACUUCAGGCUCAACCUGGAGAUGCCACUCGAUACUGCUAUGGCUUGAGUCUGGUAGGGGAGCACGGAAUUCCUGGUGUAGCGGUGAAAUGCGCAGAUAUCAGGAGGAACACCGGUGGCGAAGGCGGUGCUCUGGGCCAGUACUGACGCUGAGGAGCGAAAGCGUGGGUAGCAAACAGGAUUAGAUACCCCAGUAGUCC